CCCUCUCUCUCUCUGAAAUCUCUCUCCGUACAGAUCUGCUCUCCGGUCAGAUCUCUUGGCGGUAGGCGUCCUCCGUCGUCCGGCGUCCCCACUCCGGUAGAUUUGGCGGCCGGAUCUGUCUCCGGCGACGCCCAUAAAAAAGGAUCUCUCUCUCUUUGGCCGGAUCUGUUGCUACAAAUAAAAGGGGUGAACUUCCUCUCUUGCCGGCCACCAAGACCCACCGACCGCCACCCAUCGGAGCAACCCCCUCCCUCUCUCUCGCCGUGUUCCUGUUUACCAUUUAAUUUCCAAGGAUCAUCAACUCUGUUCUGUUGCUAGGAGCGCUAUUAUGUAGAGAGGAAUUUGUUGGGGUAUUGUACGACCAAGGCUCGAAAAAAUGUCGGUAAAUAGUGAUGCGUCAAGACCCCCUCCGUUAUGUUACUGUGGAGUGCGUGCACGUCUAAGGUACUCAUGGACUAGUGACAACCCCGGACGAAAGUGGUAUGGCUGUAUAAAGUAUAAGGAAGCUGGGGAUUGUGAUUUUUUUAAGUGGACUGAUAACGACAUGACUUCUUAUGAGAAGAGAUUGGAGGAACAUAUGAGAGACAUGGAGGAAGGGAGACGGGCCGAUAUUGAGAAAGUUGAGAAGAUGACAAUGGCCAAUAUUGACAGACUUGAGAAGCUGAUUGAAACAAAACACAAUGAACAAUAUGCUAGACUUCGGUUGGAGUUGGGUCUGCGUCAAAAUAAUAGAAAGAUGUUUUGGGUAGCAGUAGUCGUAGUCAUUUUGGGCCUUGUAAUUUAUCUCAGUGGUUAUAGUGGUUCUAAAGUUAGCUACUUGAUGUUAGAAUGAAAAGAUGGAAACA